rnacentral:rRNA from 1 species
GAUGAACGCUGGCGGCGUGCCUAAUACAUGCAAGUCGAGCGAACAGACGAGGAGCUUGCUCCUCUGACGUUAGCGGCGGACGGGUGAGUAACACGUGGAUAACCUACCUAUAAGACUGGGAUAACUUCGGGAAACCGGAGCUAAUACCGGAUAACAUGUUGAACCGCAUGGUUCAACAGUGAAAGACGGUCUUGCUGUCACUUAUAGAUGGAUCCGCGCCGCAUUAGCUAGUUGGUAAGGUAACGGCUUACCAAGGCAACGAUGCGUAGCCGACCUGAGAGGGUGAUCGGCCACACUGGAACUGAGACACGGUCCAGACUCCUUCGGGAGGCAGCAGUAGGGAAUCUUCCGCAAUGGGCGAAAGCCUGACGGAGCAACGCCGCGUGAGUGAAGAAGGUCUUCGGAUCGUAAAACUCUGUUAUUAGGGAAGAACAAAUGUGUAAGUAACUAUGCACGUCUUGACGGUACCUAAUCAGAAAGCCACGGCUAACUACGUG